UUAUAAGAGACAGCAGCAGCCGCGGGAAUACAGAGGGUGCGAGCGUUAAUCGGAUUUACUGGGCGUAAAGCGUGCGUAGGCGGCUUCUUAAGUCGGAUGUGAAAUCCCUGAGCUUAACUUAGGAAUUGCAUUCGAUACUGGGAAGCUAGAGUAUGGGAGAGGAUGGUAGAAUUCCAGGUGUAGCGGUGAUAUGCGUAGAGAUCUGGAGGAAUACCGAUGGCGAAGGCAGCCAUCUGGCCUAAUACUGACGCUGAGGUACGAAAGCAUGGGGAGCAAACAGGAUUAGAUACCCGCGUAGUCCCUGUCUCUUAUAC
rnacentral:rRNA from 1 species